rnacentral:rRNA from 1 species
CCUACGGGAGGCAGCAGUAGGGAAUAUUGCUCAAUGGGGGAAACCCUGAAGCAGCAACGCCGCGUGGAGGAUGAAGGUCUUCGGAUUGUAAACUCCUUUUGUUAGAGAAGAUAAUGACGGUAUCUAACGAAUAAGCACUGGCUAACGCCGUGCCAGCAGCCGCGGUAAUACGGAGGGUGCAAGCGUUACUCGGAAUCACUGGGCGUAAAGAGCGCGUAGGCGGGAUAGCAAGUCAGAUGUGAAAUCCUAUGGCUUAACCAUAGAAGUGCAUUUGAAACUGUUAUUCUUGAGUAUGGGAGAGGUAGGUGGAAUUCUUGGUGUAGGGGUAAAAUCCGUAGAGAUCAAGAAGAAUACUCAUUGCGAAGGCGACCUGCUAGAACAUAACUGACGCUGAUGCGCGAAAGCGUGGGGAGCAAACAGGAUUAGAUACCCCUGUAGUC